rnacentral:misc_RNA from 1 species
AACGCACAUUGCACCCUCUGGAAUUCCAGAGGGUAUGCCUGUUUGAGUAUCAUUAAUAUCUCAACACCAGACAGGUUAACAUCUGUUCUGUUGCUUGGAUGUUGAAGGUUUGCCAGUAAAAACUGGCUCCUUUAAAAUGUAUUAGCCGAAAUCAUGCAUUGAACUGGCUUCAGUAUGAUAAGCUCUUAUCUGUAUUACUGUCGCUUGUGAAUAAGCAAAUUUAUUGUUUCAGCUUCUAAUUGCCCUACGGGCUGUCCCUCUGAGGGGCAUACUUUGAUACUUGAUCUCAAAUCAGGUAGGACUACCCGCUGAACUUAA